ACUGUGAUGCUAAAUACUCCACCCAAGGUCUGAUUGCCCCCAGGGACGAGAAGAUCCUCACUUACACCAAGUGAUGCUUUAUAAUCUUGCCCCUAAGUUGUCCAAUUACUGAUUGGUCAAUAAAGAUGCUUACAGCCUGAAACUGUACAGAAGAGCAGUAAGCAGGGCUUUGCUUCCUGGCUUUGGAGUCUGAAGCAGAGACCACAAUGAGCGAAGAAUGGAGAGUGAGGGAAGAAUGACACCAUGACGUAGGGGAUCAUUAAAACAUGGUCAAUUGGAGUAAGAGUGGCACAGACAGAACACGAUAAUGAAAGAAUAUGUGUUCCAUCAAAAUCUAUAAAGAUCUGAUCCAAGGGCUGAUUGAAAACCUUGAUGGUAAAAUGGACAUUUGCUGAAGAAUAGAUGAUUGUGGCUGCAAUUAUAAAGGAACAUCGCACCAGUGGACCUUCCAAAGGACAUUUCGACAAUCCAAUCACACAGAUUCAUCUAGCUGAAACCUUCUUUUCUCCAUUCAUACCUUCUGUGGACCUCACAGACAGUUUCCUCCUGACUUCCUACACUUCAACACGAAGAUCUGUAAUCGCCCCCAAAUCAGAUGCCUUUGACUAAAUAUGGCACCUCUUCACUGUAAGAGUCCUGGAGUGAUUUGGUAUACAAGGAACAUACCUAAAUAUAAUUAAAGCAAUUUACAGUAAGCCUACAGCCUUUAUCAAAUAAAAUGGGGGAAAAACUCAAAGAAAUUUCAUGAAAGGAAACAA